UGCGUAGGUGGCGCCGUAAGUCAGGUGUGAAAUUUCGGAGCUUAACUCCGAAACUGCAUUUGAUACUGCGGUGCUUGAGGACUGGAGAGGAGACUGGAAUUCACGGUGUAGCAGUGAAAUGCGUAGAUAUCGUGAGGAAGACCAGUGGCGAAGGCGGGUCUCUGGACAGUUCCUGACACUGAGGCACCAAAGGGGCCCAGGGGAAGGCAAACG
rnacentral:rRNA from 1 species